ACUCUCACUAACCAGCUGACAUCUGGCCUUUUGACACCUUGCCGUCACGUGUCUGAUGUUUGAUUGACGUGGCCAAUGAAUAAAGAGGCCAGCAGUACCGAAAAUAUCGGGGUCACUUCGAGUGAAGAAUUCGUGGUGUGAAGUUGCAGCUCUCUGUCCCGUGAAUUUCUUUAAGUAAGAACGAAAUGGGCGAUAAACCAGACGUAUCUGAGGUGUCAACGUUCGAUAAGAGCAAGUUGAAAAAGACUGAGACACAAGAGAAGAACACUCUUCCAACGAAAGAAACAAUUGACCAGGAGAAGAGCACCUAAGCCAA